rnacentral:rRNA from 1 species
AACCAGCACCUCAAGUGGUCAGGAUGAUUAUUGGGCCUAAAGCAUCCGUAGCCGGCUCUGUAAGUUUUCGGUUAAAUCUGUACGCUCAACGUACAGGCUGCCGGGAAUACUGCAGAGCUAGGGAGUGGGAGAGGUAGACGGUACUCGGUAGGAAGGGGUAAAAUCCUUUGAUCUAUUGAUGACCAUCAGUGGCGAAGGCGGCUAACUGGUAUAACACUGACGCUGAGGUACGAAAGCGUGGGUAGCGAACGGG